rnacentral:rRNA from 1 species
GAUGAACGCUGGCGGCGUGCCUAAUACAUGCAAGUCGAGCGAAUGGAUUAAGAGCUUGCUCUUAUGAAGUUAGCGGCGGACGGGUGAGUAACACGUGGGUAACCUGCCCAUAAGACUGGGAUAACUCCGGGAAACCGGGGCUAAUACCGGAUAACAUUUUGAACCGCAUGGUUCGAAAUUGAAAGGCGGCUUCGGCUGUCACUUAUGGAUGGACCCGCGUCGCAUUAGCUAGUUGGUGAGGUAACGGCUCACCAAGGCAACGAUGCGUAGCCGAACUGAGAGGGUGAUCGGCCACACUGGGACUGAGACACGGCACAGACUCCGACGGGAGGCAGCAGUAGGGAAUCGUCCGCAAUGGACGAAAGUCUGACGGAGCAACGCCGCGUCAGUGAUGAAGGCUUUCGGGUCGUAAAACUCUGUUGUUAGGGAAGAACAAGUGCUAGUUGAAUAAGCUGGCACCUUGACGGUACCUAACCAGAAAGCCACGGCUAACUACGUGCCAGCCGCCGCCGCGG